rnacentral:rRNA from 1 species
AGUUUGAUCCUGGCUCAGGAUGAACGCUAGCGGCAGGCUUAACACAUGCAAGUCGAGGGGUAUAGUUCUUCGGAACUAGAGACCGGCGCACGGGUGCGUAACGCGUAUGCAAUCUACCUUUUACAGAGGGAUAGCCCAGAGAAAUUUGGAUUAAUACCUCAUAGUAUAUAGCCCUGGCAUCAGGAUUAUAUUAAAGUCACAACGGUAAAAGAUGAGCAUGCGUCCCAUUAGCUAGUUGGUAAGGUAACGGCUUACCAAGGCUACGAUGGGUAGGGGUCCUGAGAGGGAGAUCCCCCACACUGGUACUGAGACACGGACCAGACUCCUACGGGAGGCAGCAGUGAGGAAUAUUGGACAAUGGGCGCAAGCCUGAUCCAGCCAUGCCGCGUGCAGGAUGACGGUCCUAUGGAUUGUAAACUGCUUUUAUACGAGAAGAAACAUCCCGACGUGUCGGGACUUGACGGUAUCGUAAG